UAGGUCUCAAAUACGGACGAGUGGCCA
rnacentral:piRNA from 1 species